AGAGUUUGAUCAUGGCUCAGAUUGAACGCUGGCGGCAGGCCUAACACAUGCAAGUCGAGCGGUAGCACAGAGAGCUUGCUCUCGGGUGACGAGCGGCGGACGGGUGAGUAAUGUCUGGGAAACUGCCUGAUGGAGGGGGAUAACUACUGGAAACGGUAGCUAAUACCGCAUAACGUCGCAAGACCAAAGUGGGGGACCUUCGGGCCUCAUGCCAUCAGAUGUGCCCAGAUGGGAUUAGCUAGUAGGUGGGGUAACGGCUCACCUAGGCGACGAUCCCUAGCUGGUCUGAGAGGAUGACCAGCCACACUGGAACUGAGACACGGUCCAGACUCCUACGGGAGGCAGCAGUGGGGAAUAUUGCACAAUGGGCGCAAGCCUGAUGCAGCCAUGCCGCGUGUGUGAAGAAGGCCUUCGGGUUGUAAAGCACUUUCAGCGGGGAGGAAGGCGAUAAGGUUAAUAACCUUGUCGAUUGACGUUACCCGCAGAAGAAGCACCGGCUAACUCCGUGCCAGCAGCCGCGGUAAUACGGAGGGUGCAAGCGUUAAUCGGAAUUACUGGGCGUAAAGCGCACGCAGGCGGUCUGUCAAGUCGGAUGUGAAAUCCCCGGGCUCAACCUGGGAACUGCAUUCGAAACUGGCAGGCUAGAGUCUUGUAGAGGGGGGUAGAAUUCCAUGUGUAGCGGUGAAAUGCGUAGAGAUCUGGAGGAAUACCGGUGGCGAAGGCGGCCCCCUGGACAAAGACUGACGCUCAGGUGCGAAAGCGUGGGGAGCAAACAGGAUUAGAUACCCUGGUAGUCCACGCCGUAAACGAUGUCGAUUUGGAGGUUGUGCCCUUGAGGCGUGGCUUCCGGAGCUAACGCGUUAAAUCGACCGCCUGGGGAGUACGGCCGCAAGGUUAAAACUCAAAUGAAUUGACGGGGGCCCGCACAAGCGGUGGAGCAUGUGGUUUAAUUCGAUGCAACGCGAAGAACCUUACCUGGUCUUGACAUCCACAGAACUUAGCAGAGAUGCUUUGGUGCCUUCGGGAACUGUGAGACAGGUGCUGCAUGGCUGUCGUCAGCUCGUGUUGUGAAAUGUUGGGUUAAGUCCCGCAACGAGCGCAACCCUUAUCCUUUGUUGCCAGCGGUUAGGCCGGGAACUCAAAGGAGACUGCCAGUGAUAAACUGGAGGAAGGUGGGGAUGACGUCAAGUCAUCAUGGCCCUUACGACCAGGGCUACACACGUGCUACAAUGGCAUAUACAAAGAGAAGCGACCUCGCGAGAGCAAGCGGACCUCAUAAAGUAUGUCGUAGUCCGGAUUGGAGUCUGCAACUCGACUCCAUGAAGUCGGAAUCGCUAGUAAUCGUAGAUCAGAAUGCUACGGUGAAUACGUUCCCGGGCCUUGUACACACCGCCCGUCACACCAUGGGAGUGGGUUGCAAAAGAAGUAGGUAGCUUAACCUUCGGGAGGGCGCUUACCACUUUGUGAUUCAUGACUGGGGUGAAGUCGUAACAAGGUAACCGUAGGGGAACCUGCGGUUGGAUCACCU
rnacentral:rRNA from 1 species